ensembl:lncRNA
GUAAAUAUUUUCAUAUUUUAAUCUUGGCACUUGUGAAGUCUGUGUCUUCCCAUGUUUUAGCGUCAGCAUAUAGGCAGACGAUCAGUCCGACGUUAGAGUCGGCGCCGACUCCACUGAGCUAGGAGAAGGGCGAGGUACGAGGGUGUGUGAGGGGUAAAUGAGAGAAAGAGAAAGCAGCUUGCUACUAGCGGACACACGGUAGGCUGCUAGCUGAACGUAGCAGCAUGGCGGGGCAAAGGGACUUCCAACAAGGCAGCCACUGCCACAGAAAAACGUGGAUUAAUAUACUACUUGGGAUCCUACAGCUGUUGUUGUCCUGCCUUCAGCACGGAGGUGCCCAACUGCCAGGCGGAGGAAGAGCACAGCAAAGAGAGUCUCCCACAGGAAGAGAGCUCUUCAUUUUAUCUGCGGGAGAGUGGAAGACCCCUCCGAUUUCAGCCUCCAACUCUAGAGUUUGGGACUCAGUAAGUGAUGCACCUCACUCUCGCAAUCUUGCACACAUACACCCUCCAACACUGAAAUAUAAAAAUUAGGCUUGUCAAAACAUAACUUUAAUUUAGAUUAAUUGCAGAAAAAAUGUACGCAGAUUAAUCCCACUCUAUCAUGCCCCUUGACCACAUACUGUGCACCACUGUGUUGCGGUAAUGGCUUGUGUUUCUCCCACUGUGUUGCGGUAAUGGCUUGUGUUUCUCCCACUGUGUUGCGAUAAUGGCUUGUGUUUCUCCCACUGUGUGUUUCUCCCACUUUUGAUGUGGAGCUGACAUCAAUGUCUUGGGCCAACUGGUUAGUUGGAUAGUAGGUCUACAGCCUCAUCUUGGAAUUAUUUGUAUUAUUAUUAUAUUAUUUGAUCAGUGCUUUAAUUGUUGGUGUAGUCUGAAAUUACCUAAGUUAGUUAGCUCACUAGUUUUAGACUAGUUAUUAGAUGGGUUAAUCAGGAAUAAAGAAAAUGUGUUCUUCAUAAAUGGAGUUCAUUGUUUGCCAGUAAUGUGUGGUGAACAUCACACUGCUAAGGCUUGUUUACUUUGUCACUUCACGUCAAUGGCAAAUUUGAUGGAUUUUUAAAUGCUAAUUGCGAUUAAUUUAGAUUAAUUAUUCACAAAGCAUGUCAUUUUGGUUAUCGCUUGACAGCCCUAAUUCAAUAUUUUUUACAAUCAUUGUAAUGCAAAUGAUAUGGAAUGUUUGGAAUUUCGUUCAAAUGAUCAUGUUUACAAGCAUUUUCCAUGUUAAAAUGACCCUUAAACUGUCCUUCAUUGACAUAACACUAAUGAUGUCAAGCUUAUGCCAUUGUUUGGCUAGCAUUAUGACAGAUGAGGUGUUUAAACAAUCAACAUGAGCUCUGUUAGUGGUGAUACGUGUGCAACUCCGAGAUCAGUUGGCUAAGGGCUGCAUAGAAUCUUAGGGAUCUUUUAAAGCACACUUCACAGCAGAUGGGAUUGCCAAAUAUGGCAGUCUGUCUUUUCUCAUGGGCUGUGCGGAGAGGAUCAGGGAAAGGUUACGAACUCCACUGUUUUCCUGUGGGCUCCAAAAACAACCAGAAAUAGCAGGGGCUCUGUUAUAUUUGGAAGAGAGUUUGCUACUAGACACUGCCUGUACGGUACUGACAUGACGCACACAUCGGACUUUGUUUAGUAACGUUUCCUUAAUCCCAUGUUCUCUACAUUGGGACCUGGUAGUUGAUUACUGUCGUGGAGUUUCUCUUAUUCCAUGGAACUUCUAUCUUAGAGAAGACCAGAGCACACAGCAGCAAAGAGAUUUUCUGAUAUUUAUUCCUCUUGCAAGCUGGGUGUUGGUUAAUGUUUGAGAAGUGAGACACCUAGCACAGAAGACACACACAGCUUUUACUCUAAUCAGUGAUAACACAAUUCAUUUUUCAGUGGAAAGUUACUGUUGGACAGGGAGCCCUGCUGGCACAAUACAGACAUGAACAUAGCUUGUCUUCUUAAAAAACCGAAAGGGUUUUGACCCAGAUAGGGGGAAUUGGGGGUGAAACACCUGGCUGCAGCGGUGAGAGAGCCGGAUCCUACCUACCUUCCUUCAUCUGCGGAAUGUCUCAGAACUCACACUCUUAACAUCUACAUACAUGCACACCUGGGGUUUUGUGUGAACAACAGAAAGCAUUCAAGCAAAGGUUCUGCUGUUUAUUAAGGUCCCAUUGGACAGGGAUUCUGUUAGUAGUGAAAGUUUUAUUCCCCAGAGCUUUUCGCCUGCUUUGUUAGAGAACAGUAUGACUAAUUGUGACACCUAGGGUUAUCACAGGUGACAAAAACACCUAAUCUUCAUCUCUUGUCCUUUGCCUUCAUGCAAAUAUUCUCCACUUGUCAUUGGCUAGGUAUAUGGUUCUUCUGAACCUGUUUGCAUGCGUGCUAUCAGUUUGAAAUCAAUCAUUGCAGUGAUAAAUGAAGUUUCGAACAAAUCUAUCGACUAUACCAAACACAGAUGACCACAAAUGCUGCAGCACCCAUUUUCAUGCAACCACUGCUUGGCCUAAAAUAGUACAUCCUUAACAGGAACUGAAGAUCUUGACUUUUGGACUGUAUUUAUCGUUCAAAUGAUUGCCAAGCGAGAUCAUUCCACAUGGCACUAGACUCGUGGAAACUAGGCUGAUGUUAGAGGAUUGACCCAAAGCAGAAGUGGAUUGGCUAAUGGGACCCGGAGCAGAAGUGGAUUGGCUAAUGGAACUCCGGACCAUGAAGAGUCUGUGCAGAGGGCCGCUUUCUCUCUCCCAGCCUCAAAUGAAGCCGUAAAUCUGUCAUCUCAC